CUUUUGUUUGUUGUCCUUAGCUGGCUGAUUGAUGUUGUUAUGUAUGGUUGUUGCUUCGUACACCCUUCUGCUGUGAAUUUGCGAGCUAAGAUCUCGUUUAUGGUGUCAAAUACAAGCUUCCUCCUGCUUCUCUCUAUCAGGACGAAGAAAAGGCUCGGAUUGAUGGGUAGGUGUGCUUGGUGCAGCUGAAUGCUUAGCAUGCUGUAGUCGAUAUCUCUUAGAAGCCCAGAUGCUAACAGUAUCUCUGAGAUGUACUUGUGGUCACCGUUGUUUAAUUCCGCACCUUCUUCCCUGAUACCCUCAGUAAGUUCAGCAUCUGACUGAUUUAGACUCCCGUUACUCUCAGUCUCAGGCCACACAAUCGACCUACGUAAGGUUCUGUGCUUGUUCAUCCACUCGGACUCUUCAGAACGUAGAUGAUCAUCGUCUGUGGCAAGAGAAACAGUAAAGGGGAUGGUGACUCAUCUUCGUCGAAGGCUACAUCAAGAACUGAAACCGGGCUUGGCUGCUCCACCGUAACUUUCAGAGGUUUUGGUAACGACCUCAUUCCCAGUUCUGGACUCUGCAUUUAUAGAACAGAUGGACUCAGUGAAACAUGUACUAGUGAAUAACUUGACAAGUGAAUUUGCGUUAGGGGAGAAAAGUUUAUACCCUUUGUUUUGGUGUGUGCUGCUCCGUGAAGUCGCUGUUCCUUUCAUAUUUGUAUCUGCUUGUAACCUCACUGUCCAGGUUAGAAGCCGAGCUUACGUUGCUGUCGGAUCUUAGACUUCUCCAGUCACUGCUUUCAUCACUCAAACGGUCUUCUGAUUGCUGCACGCUCCGAGGUUUUCUUCUUGGGGAGGCUGAUUCGGUCUGUUGCCUACUAAGCUUUUGUCUUUGGAUCCUGUUCUGUUCUGGUUUUGGAGACGUUGGUCUAGACUGCUUCUCCAACCCGAGCUUCUUCGACUGUGUUCUUGGGCUGACACUAGGCUUUCCUGACUUGGCCAUCUCAUUUUUGGGCAGUAACUGUCUGGAACCAGUGUUUUUUGUUGGUGAAUCUGUUUGGCCCUUGUAAACUCCUGGCCUUGGUGUCACAUCCAUGGCGCUCUGCUUCUUCGGAUUGACUCUCUGGCUUUGCCUCUGGUUUGAAACCUUGACACUUGGUAAAGUAACACUCCGUGGCGAGUAAGAGGCGGAACCAUAAUUGCCUGUCUCUUUGAAAACUGAAGCAGUUGCUGCGUUCAUUACUACCGUAGACGAAGAUCUGGAACUCUUGGACGGCGGGCUUGUUGUUGCUGCUGAUGGAACUGGCUGCAUGAAAUUGGUUGAACUCAGAGUAUUGUUGUCAUCAUCUUUGUUUAUCAACUUCUGUGUCGUCUCCAUUGCUUCGAGUAUUUGCUUUAGAGCGCUGAGAUCUUUCUCGGACUUUUUGAACUCAAGCUGCGAAAGCCGCUUCUGUAUCUCACCAUAAACCGUCACCGUAGUGGCCGCAUCAACUGCUUUCAUAGGAAACUUAACAGGCAUCAUCUUCUUGAUUGGAUCAGAACUUCUUGAUCUUUGUAGAUCUGCAUCCACUCGUGAAGUUGGCCUCGGGGAGUCGCAGAAGCGGUUCUCUCUGACCUGAUCAGUAACAGACUCGUCUGGAAUGAAUUCAAGACCCAUCAGUUUGGCAACAACACUCGACGUUGUUCUUCUGUGACCCGUUACAAGCUCUUGCGGCUCUGGUGAAGAACUAGAUCUUGCACUCCUAAAGGAAUUCGAUCUACUGUCUAACGACAACCUCGGUGUCUCUUUGAACUUGGCGCCUGUCUUCCUUGCCUCCCUCUCAUCGUAAGAGAACCGAGGACUGUCUUUCAGCUUCACUACUCUCCUUCCUUCGCUCCAUUCAUUAGAAUUCCGAGAUGGUGAUGAUUCAUUGAGAAGAGACACGUUAGAUUUUGCUGAUUUAGGUUGUUGCUGAGACACGGCUUCUUCUUCAUCUCUGGCUCUGGUCUCCUUAUGAAUGGAGUUUCUCACAAGCUCCCUUAAACCACUCGACAAUCUUAUGGGAUUCUCACCAUUACUCGUUUGCAUCAAACCUGGUUGUUCAAACUGAGAUGUCGUGGUGCUGAUAUCUGCAGACGAGAAGCUCGAGGAACAUUGUGAAGAAGAAAACGACAGCCUAGAUGAUGAUUCAGAGGAUACUACCCUUUGUUUCUCCUUUGCAACCUUCUUCUUCUUCUUCUUCUUACUCUUCUCCUACAAUUCAGGUUUUAAAUUUUUAAUGGAGAGAACAAACAUAGCAAGCAAAGACGUAAAGAGAAGGGAAUGUUACCUGAAGGCAUAGACUUGACCUCGUCUCCGGCUACAACAACACGUCUCGCAGGAUAAUGUUGCCGGUAAAAUACCUGGAAGAUCCCAUUCAUACAUCCAAAUUGUUUAUUCAGAUUUGGAUUCUCGUCCGACAAGUUAUACAAAAGCUUUGCCGACAUCUUCUUCUUUGUCUUCUUUAGCUCUGGUUCGUAGAAGGUUUAGUCUUCUUUACUCUAUCAUAUAAGUUCUUGAAAAUCUGCAGUUUUAGGUUUCUCCUCUGUUUUGUGCCUCAUGGAAAGUAGAAGAAGAAGAAGAGACGGGAGGACAAAGAACCUAGCAUUAAGGUAACGGAAAAGCUACUUGUGAAGUUAUGACCAGACAAGAUAUUAGGUUUCUUUGUGUUUGUUCUCUUGGAGGGUUCCUUGAAGAAGAAAGAAGAGAAUGGAAAAAGUGGUUUUUUUUGUUUGUGUUGUUUGAGAGAAAUGAAUCUGUAAAAGGCAAAAGAGCUCUCUCUUUCUAUACAAUUAUAUGGAGAAGCUCGUGAAGCAUAUAUAACAUCGGUUGUGUGAUGUAUAUACACAUGCGUGUACACAUGUAUACGUGUGUAUCCGUAGAUUUAUAAGUGUAAGAGAAUGUAAUUGAAUUGUUUAAUGUUUAAAAUAAAAUUUGUGACAAA